CACGUAGGGCGCGAGCGUUGUCCGGAAUUAUUGGGCGUAAAGAGCUCGUAGGCGGCCUGUUGCGUCCGCUGUGAAAGCCCGGGGCUUAACCCCGGGUCUGCAGUGGAUACGGGCAGGCUAGAGGUAGGUAGGGGAGAAUGGAAUUCCCGGUGUAGCGGUGAAAUGCGUAGAUAUCCGGAGGAACACCGGUGGCGAAGGCGGCUUCCUGGACCGACACUGACGCUGAGGCGCGAAAGCUAGGGGAGCAAACGGG
rnacentral:rRNA from 1 species